AUUGCUGUAACAUGUCAUAGUGCAAGAGA
rnacentral:sRNA from 1 species